rnacentral:rRNA from 1 species
UACGUAGGCAGCGAGCGUUGUUCGGAGUUACUGGGCGUAAAGAGUGCGUAGGCGGUUUUCUAAGUUUGGUGUGAAAUCUCCCGGCUCAACUGGGAGGGUGCGCCGAAGACUGGAAGGCUUGAGUAUGGGAGAGGUAAGCGGAAUUCCUGGUGUAGCGGUGAAAUGCGUAGAUAUCUGGAGGAACACCGGUGGCGAAGGCGGCAUCCUGGACCAAUUCUGACGCUGAGGAGCGAAAGCCAGGGGAGCAAACGGG